GUCGAGGUGUGCUUAGUUGCCAAAAUAAUCAUACGUGGUAAUUGGAAAACCUUCACUUAACCAGAGAACACCAUUUUCAGCAGGAAUUUUCUAUUAAUAUCUGGUGUGGAGUCAUUUUAUUAAUAGACCAAUGGUUGGUGAUUUGAUUAUUGGACCCUUUGAGUUACCCGCAAGCCUCCUCCGAAACCACCUCCAAAACCGAAACCGCCUCCAAAACCACCACCGCCUCCGCCGCCACCACCGCCACCACCUCCGAAUCCACCUCCAUAGCCGCCUCCUCCUCCAUAGCCACCUCCUCCGUAGUGACCUCCACUAUAUCCUAAAAGAAAACAAUAUAUAAAAUAAGUUUUGACACAAUUAAAUAUUUAAAUAAUUUUUUGAUUUUGAUUAAACAUUUUUUAUGCAGA